rnacentral:rRNA from 1 species
CCUACGGGAGACAGCAGUGAGGAAUAUUGGUCAAUGGACGAGAGUCUGAACCAGCCAAGUAGCGUGAAGGAUGACUGCCCUAUGGGUUGUAAACUUCUUUUAUAAAGGAAUAAAACGAGGCACGUGUGCCUGUUUGCAAGUACUUUAUGAAUAAGGAUCGGCUAACUCCGUGCCAGCAGCCGCGGUAAUACGGAGGAUCCGAGCGUUAUCCGGAUUUAUUGGGUUUAAAGGGAGCGUAGAUGGGUUGUUAAGUCAGUUGUGAAAGUUUGCGGCUCAACCGUAAAAUUGCAAUUGAUACUGGCAGUCUUGAGUACAGUUGAGGUAGGCGGAAUUCGUGGUGUAGCGGUGAAAUGCUUCGAUAUCACGAAGAACCCCGAUUGCGAAGGCAGCUUACUAAACUGUGACUGACAUUGAUGCUCGAAAGUGUGGGUAUCAAACAGGAUUAGAUACCCGAGUAGUC